UACGGAGGGUGCAAGCGUUGUCCGGAUUUAUUGGGUUUAAAGGGUGUGUAGGCGGCCCUGUAAGUCAGUGGUGAAAGCCUCCAGCUCAACUGGAGAACUGCCAUUGAUACUGCAGGGCUUGAGUACAGACGAGGUUGGCGGAAUUGAUUGUGUAGCGGUGAAAUGCAUAGAUACAAUCAAGAACACCGAUUGCGUAGGCAGCUAACUAGGCUGUAACUGACGCUGAGGCACGAAAGCGUGGGGAGCGAACAGG
rnacentral:rRNA from 1 species